rnacentral:misc_RNA from 1 species
GGAUGAAGAACGUAGCGAAAUGCGAUAAGUAGUGUGAAUUGCAGAAUUCAGUGAAUCAUCGAAUCUUUGAACGCACAUUGCGCCUUCUAGUAUUCUGGGAGGCAUGCCUGUUUGAGCGUCAUUAAACCUCUCUCAAGUAUGAUUACUUGGAUGUGAAGGAAGAGUACCUUAAACUUAAGGAGUGUUCUCCUUUGAAAUUGAUUAGCAGAUGGUAAUGUUAUUAAAUCCCUGAUGUUGUAAGAAAUAACAGUGGUUUUGUAGACUAUUAUCUAGCUUUAAAUUAUAAUUUUUAUUAUGGUUGACCUCAAAUCAGGUAAGGAUACCCGCUGAACUUAAGCAUAUCAAUAAGCGGAGGA